UACGUAGGGUGCAAGCGUUAAUCGGAAUUACUGGGCGUAAAGCGUGCGCAGGCGGUUAUGUAAGACAGGUGUGAAAUCCCCAGGCUUAACCUGGGAACUGCGUCGGAUACUGGAUGGCUUGAAUUCGGGAGAGGGAUGCAGAAUUCCAGGUGUAGCGGUGAAAUGCGUAGAUAUCUGGAGGAAUACCGGUGGCGAAGGCGGCAUCCUGGACCGACAUUGACGCUGAGGAGCGAAAGCUAGGGGAGCAAACGGG
rnacentral:rRNA from 1 species